GACGAACGCUGGCGGCGUGCCUAAUACAUGCAAGUUGAGCGCUGAAGGUUGGUACUUGUACCAACUGGAUGAGCAGCGAACGGGUGAGUAACGCGUGGGGAAUCUGCCUUUGAGCGGGGGACAACAUUUGGAAACGAAUGCUAAUACCGCAUAAAAACUUUAAACACAAGUUUUAAGUUUGAAAGAUGCAAUUGCAUCACUCAAGGAUGAUCCCGCGUUGUAUUAGCUAGUUGGUGAGGUAAAGGCUCACCAAGGCGAUGAUACAUAGCCGACCUGAGAGGGUGAUCGGCCACAUUGGGACUGAGACACGGCCCAAACUCCUACGGGAGGCGGCAGUAGGGAAUCUUCGGCAAUGGACGAAAGUCUGACCGAGCAACGCCGCGUGAGUGAAGAAGGUUUUCGGAUCGUAAAACUCUGUUGGUAGAGAAGAACGUUGGUGAGAGUGGAAAGCUCAUCAAGUGACGGUAACUACCCAGAAAGGGACGGCUAACUACGUG
rnacentral:rRNA from 1 species